ACCAGCGAUGUUAGCCCACCAGAGCAUGAAUCACGGAUCUAGAGAAACGCAACAUCGCCAUCAGCCCAGGUUCAAGGCGCAGAGCCACGCGCCCCCGGUGGGAAGGGCUGCACUGUCGCACUUACACAGAUGACCCGCAGAGAUUCCCAGUUUCAAGACGCAACAAAAAGGCCUCCAGGAAGUGAAGCCGGCAGCUCACUGCUAUGUGUUUAAACUGUAAUUUUCCACUGCCAAAACAAAGAGCAUCCAAAGAGUCCGGUGGAUUUGGGAGAAAAGCCUCCUUCUCCCGGAAGUCGGCCAGAGCCGAGGUCCCGGAGCUGCGCCGCCCCCGGUUUCGCGGGGAGGCUGGGCAUGCACGACAGCCAAGGACGCCCGGGCUGUGGGGCCAGAGAAGGCUCUCUGCUGCCUUGCCUUGCCACAGGCCCAGUGGGAUGAGACCAACCAGUGCCAGGCUGAAGCCUGCAAAAUGUGAGCCCGA
rnacentral:lncRNA from 1 species